CGUGGUACCUGCGGUUUUUAAUUUUUUUUUAUUAUUAUUUUGGCUUUCUCUGAGCUUUAGGGCUAGUUUUGAGCUGAAAGUUGUUGCUGCAGAGCACAGCCGAGUUGCCCUUUGUCCCCUUUCCAAACCAGAUACGGAGCCCUUCUGCUCGAAGGGGCAAACCGGCAGUUCCACGGGUGGAGAAACCCGGGGCACAGGGAGCAUGAGUGGUAUCGAGGCCUUUCAAGGACAGCGCUGCUGGGAACUUAGUAAGGAAGCUCUCAUUAUGCCUUCAGCCCCGUGGCCGUCGGGUGACUGAAUGGCUCUAAAUCCUGCCAAGUACUCCUUUGCCAGGUAUUUGAUAAUCAGAUAAAAAUAUAAGGGCAAAUGACAGGAGAAACACGGAAGCGUAGAAAUAGCAGAGAGACUAGUGGAGAAAGGAUUGAAAGCCUUUGUCACAGGGCAUCUUAGCUUUUUGUUCUUUCACAGUUACAGACCAGGACAGGAAGAAAACCUGAAAGAAAAUGGUCCUCUUCGAUGGGGGUUUUGUUAAAAGCAUGAAUCAUACUUACUAAGCACAGGGGGUGGUAACUAUCUGGACACAGAUGAUUUGGAAAAAUGGGGAAAUAGCAAUGGCUAUGUUAGUAGCAGUGAGUAGAUGCAGAAACCUAAUUGCAAAUGAAAAAUCUGAACACAAACCAUCAGAAGUUGCAACGGUUAAGCUUCAGAAAUUUAUGCCAAAUUCAAACUCUGCGCACACAGUUGGACACGUACUUACAAAGAGAAAAAGCCAAGAUCAAAGACUUGUGCCUUGUCCGUGACAAGAUGAGGAAGCUUUCGAUGCCCCUUUGUGCCCUGGGAAUUUUACUCCAUAGUUUUGGAGAGUAGAAAACCAGACGAGAAUGUUGUUUCUGUAGCACAGACAUUAUGCAGUCUUCCAUGUAUCUUUGGACAAGUCUAUAUAGUGUGCUGAAGUUAAGGACUGAGACCUUCACUGCAAUGUGAGCUUUUGUGGAAAGCUGUUGUCGAGAAUGGAGGACCAGUCUGAAAAGAUUGCGGGCUGGUAUUGCCUCCAGUAUUGCCUUACACGAUACUUCCGUGCCCUGUGCACACCAGGGACGGGACUGGCACAGACGUGAGCAGAGGUGGGGUGGGAUGACUGGUUAGCAAGUCCAGACAGCGCUUCCGUGACUCAGCAAUGGAAGAGGUGCAUCUGACGAGGGAGUGUGGGAUUCCCCCAGCCCCUCCAUGGGUCUCAGCCGCUCCUCUGAAGGAGCAGCUGUGCCCUACUGUCUGACAGCCUGGCUGAUAACUGUGGGAGUGCAAGUCCUUGCCUGCCCGGCUAUUAUGUUUGGCUCAGUAUUGGUGAAUUAUUGGAUUUGCUGUCGUUUCCACCUGAGUAAUUGUACUACCGAGUAACUGGAUUUGCUGUUGUAAUGACCUGGGUAAUUGCACUACUGAUGUAUAAUUGUUACUGUACUGUUACUUAGAGAUAAAUUGUCUAUCCCUAAA